GACGAACGUUGGCGGCGUGCUUAAUACAUGCAAGUCAACUGAAGCAGAGGUAGUAAUAUCUCUGUGGAGGUGGCGCACGGGUGAGUAACACGUAGGUAAUCUGCCUUCAGGUCUGACAUAACCCCGAGAAAUCGGGGCUAAUAGCAGAUGAUGCAGCGGCUUGACAUCAAGACAGUUGUUAAAGCUUCGGCGCCUGAAGAUGAGCCUGCGCUGAUUAGCUAGUUGGCGGAGUAACAGCCCACCAAGGCUACGAUCAGUAGCUGGUCUGAGAGGAUGAUCAGCCACACUGGAACUGAGACACGGUCCAGACUCCUACGGGAGGCAGCAGUAAGGAAUAUUGCUCAAUA
rnacentral:rRNA from 1 species